CCAGUAACUCAGUCUGGGUCUCCCAGGAAGGUGGUAGCCAGGGCGGGCUGGGUCUGAAGUCGGGAGCCAGUAACUCCGUCUGGGUCUCCCAGGAAGGUGGUAGCCAGGGCGGGCUGGGUCUGAAGUCGGGAGCCAGUAACUCAGUCUGGGUCUCCCAGGAAGGUGGUAGCCAGGGCGGGCUGGGUCUGAAGUCGGGAGCCAGUAACUCAGUCUGGGUCUCCCAGGAAGGUGGUAGCCAGGGCGGGCUGGGUCUGAAGUCGGGAGCCAGUAACUCCGUCUGGGUCUCCCAGGAAGGUGGUAGCCAGGGCGGGCUGGGUCUGAAGUCGGGAGCCAGUAACUCCGUCUGGGUCUCCCAGGAAGGUGGUA